GAUCAUUAUCGAGAGGGCUCCGGCCCUUGAAGAUAUCACCCUUUGUCUAUGAGCACCUCUUGUUUCCUCGGCAGGCUCGCCUGCCAAUGAGGACCCCACAAAAACCCUUUUGCAGUGGCAGUACAAUCAGUUAAAGUAAAUUCUUACAACUUUCAACAACGGAUCUCUUGGUUCUGGCAUCGAUGAAGAACGCAGCGAAAUGCGAUAAGUAGUGUGAAUUGCAGAAUUCAGUGAAUCAUCGAAUCUUUGAACGCACAUUGCGCCCUAUGGUAUUCCGUAGGGCAUGCCUGUUCGAGCGUCAUUUACACCUUCAAGCUCUGCUUGGUGUUGGGCGUUUGUCCCGCCCCUCGGGGCUGGGACUCGCCUUAAAUCUAUUGGCAGCUGAAGUUGUUGGCUAUGAGCGCAGCAGAGUUUGCGUCUUGGGCCUCCUACUCAGCGUACCACAAGCCUUUUUCUAUCUUUUGACCUCGGAUCAGGUAGGGAUACCCGCUGAACUUAAGCAUAUCAAUAAGCGGAGGAAAAGAAACCAACAGGGAUUGCCCUAGUAACGGCGAGUGAAGCGGCAACAGCUCAAAUUUGAAAUCUGGCCUCUUUGGGGUCCGAGUUGUAAUUUGCAGAGGGUGCUUUGGCGUUGGCAGCAGUCUAAGUUCCUUGGAACAGGACGUCACAGAGGGUGAGAAUCCCGUACGUGGUUGCUUGUCUUCGCCGUGUAAAGCCCCUUCGACGAGUCGAGUUGUUUGGGAAUGCAGCUCUAAAUGGGAGGUAAAUUUCUUCUAAAGCUAAAUACUGGCCAGAGACCGAUAGCGCACAAGUAGAGUGAUCGAAAGAUGAAAAGCACUUUGGAAAGAGAGUCAAAAAGCACGUGAAAUUGUUGAAAGGGAAGCGCUUGCAGCCAGACGUGCCCGUAGUUGCUCAUCCAGGCUUUGGCCUGGUGCACUCUUCUGCGGGCAGGCCAGCAUCAGUUCGGGCGGUUGGAGAAAGACCUCUGUCACGUACCUACCUUCGGGUAGGCCUUAUAGGGGAGGUGUAAUGCAACCAGCCUGAACUGAGGUCCGCG
rnacentral:rRNA from 1 species